rnacentral:misc_RNA from 1 species
UCGUAACAAGGUUUCCGUAGGUGAACCUGCGGAAGGAUCAUUACCGAGUGAGGGCCCUCUGGGUCCAACCUCCCACCCGUGUUUAUUUUACCUUGUUGCUUCGGCGGGCCCGCCUUAACUGGCCGCCGGGGGGCUUACGCCCCCGGGCCCGCGCCCGCCGAAGACACCCUCGAACUCUGUCUGAAGAUUGUAGUCUGAGUGAAAAUAUAAAUUAUUUAAAACUUUCAACAACGGAUCUCUUGGUUCCGGCAUCGAUGAAGAACGCAGCGAAAUGCGAUACGUAAUGUGAAUUGCAAAUUCAGUGAAUCAUCGAGUCUUUGAACGCACAUUGCGCCCCCUGGUAUUCCGGGGGGCAUGCCUGUCCGAGCGUCAUUUCUGCCCUCAAGCACGGCUUGUGUGUUGGGCCCCGUCCUCCGAUCCCGGGGGACGGGCCCGAAAGGCAGCGGCGGCACCGCGUCCGGUCCUCGAGCGUAUGGGGCUUUGUCACCCGCUCUGUAGGCCCGGCCGGCGCUUGCCGAUCAACCCAAAUUUUUAUCCAGGUGACCUC